GAUGAACGCUGGCGGCGUGCCUAAUACAUGCAAGUCGAGCGAACAGAUGAGGAGCUUGCUCCUCUGACGUUAGCGGCGGACGGGUGAGUAACACGUGGAUAACCUACCUAUAAGACUGGGAUAACCUCGGGAAACCGGAGCUAAUACCGGAUAAUAUAUUGAACCGCAUGGUUCAAUAGUGAAAGACGGUUUUGCUGUCACUUAUAGAUGGAUCCGCGCCGCAUUAGCUAGUUGGUAAGGUAACGGCUUACCAAGGCAACGAUGCGUAGCCGACCUGAGAGGGUGAUCGGCCACACUGGAACUGAGACACGGUCCAGACUCCUACGGGAGGCAGCAGUAGGGAAUCUUCCGCAAUGGGCGAAAGCCUGACGGAGCAACGCCGCGUGAGUGAUGAAGGUCUUCGGAUCGUAAAACUCUGUUAUUAGGGAGGAACAAAUGUGUAGGUAACUAUGCACGUCUUGACGGUACCUAAUCAGAAAGCCACGGCUAACUACGUG
rnacentral:rRNA from 1 species